CGGGGCGUAGCUCAGCCUGGUAGAGCACCUGCUUUGGGAGCAGGGGGUCGCGAGUUCGAAUCCCGCCGCCCCGACCA
rnacentral:tRNA from 2 species